UACGAAGGGGGCUAGCGUUGCUCGGAAUUAGUACGUGGGCGUAAAGCGUCACGUAGGCGGAAUUCUUAAGUCGGUGGUGAAAUCCGUGGAGCUCAACUCCAGAACUGCCUUCGAUACUGGGAAUCUUGAGUUCGGGAGAGGUGAGUGGAACUGCGAGUGUAGAGGUGAAAUUCGUAGAUAUUCGCAAGAACACCAGUGGCGAAGGCGGCUCACUGGCCCGGAACUGACGCUGAGGUGGCGAAAAGCGGUGGGGAGCAAACACGGG
rnacentral:rRNA from 1 species